GCUCCAACUAGGAAGAAAAAAGAAGAUGAAUGAACCCCACUAACCCCUUUGUAGCUUCCUUCGCCCCAGUCAGAUAGGGGAUGAGAUCUUAAGUCAGAAGCUUUUCUAUGUGCUUUCAAAUAAUAAGGAAGACGAAAGUCAGGCAAGGCGGAGUGGGGUCAAGUCCCUUGCCUACGUCUUCCUCUUGUUGAAAAGCUACAUAGGAGUCCUCCUCUGAUUUAUGAAUGUUCAUUGAUUGCGCUCCCGUCCUUUUGCAUCAAAAUAGAAGUUUGCUUUUCUUAUUUAGUGCUUCAUGAUACAGAUAUUUGUUAUAUUCUUCAUAGCCACGUCCGUGUCCAUGCAUGUAAGAAGUUGAUAGACCGACAUCCAUGUAUGAAGAUGAUGGAUUGACCCCUGAAUCAUAAUAUCCUGCUCCAAAUGCUACCAUCAUCAUCAUUGGACUACCAUAACCAGUUUGGCUUUGUGUCUGUGUCGUAGGAGGCACUUCUUCCAUAUUAUGAUAAUCUUCAUCGAGUUCAACUUCUUCCACUCGAACACGUCCCUAAUGAACGGGUGGAGGUACAAUAGGUAGAUCGUACAUAUUAUGUAUCUCCUCCAUGUAUCUCUCAUUAUUAUUGCAUAUAUCAAGGACUUGUUAUGGAUCAUCUGCAACAUCACAAAGUCUUGCGUUGUUCGAUCUCUUUGAAUUGUAAAAAAAACUAAAAAUAUUUAAUUGAGUAAAUAAUUUAAGUAAUUAUACAAGA